rnacentral:lncRNA from 1 species
UGUCAGCAUCUGUGACCAUCUAUAUGUCUGGGGCCCUGCAUGAGGGUGUGCAUGUGGGAGCCAGAAUGACCAUAUCUUGUGUCUUGCCAUCUGCGUGUGAGUGCCUCACUACCCAUGGGCAUUUUGGACACCCACCCCCACCAGUCCCUGAGUUUCCUCAACUGCCCCCCCCCCCCCCCCCCCCCCCCCCCCCGUGUAACUGUGAGGCUGUGGGAGUGCGCCCUGGGGGACUGUGGGCUCCAGACACAGUUGUCCCCGUGGGUUUGCAAGAGAUGGGGGUGGGUGCGAGGGAGGGUCCGGCUCCGGGUGGGCGGGGCCCGGAGGCGGGGCUUAGCGGCGCCCAGCCCCGCGCCGCUCCUCCCUGCGCACUGCAGAAAGCCUCUGCCUCCUCCCGUCUCAGUCUUCUCCAGGCGCUCCUCACGGUGCCUCUGGACUUGUCCCUGCGCCCCGGACCUUAGGACCGCCCGCCCGCCGCGCUGGUAGGUCCCGGGCGGCCGCUCCGUGCCCUGUCGCGGGAAGGACCCCUCGCCUCUGCCCCCUCGCUUCCGCCCCUUAACCUGCGAGUGCUGGAGGGACGGAGGGACAGAAGGAGGAAGGAAAGGAGGUGUUUCUUGUAAACAACAUUUUGUUAGAUUCUUGUUUCUAAUUCAUUCUGCUAUCUGCUUCUGUUUUACAGGAGUGCCUCUAUUUCGCUCAGUGUCCAUUUUUUUGCCUCUGAAGAAUUCUACUCAGUUUUGUCGGAUUGUCCUUCACUUCAUUGCAUUUGCAUUCCCAAUCACUUGUUUUCCAUUCGGGUUCUUUGAUGACACUUGCCACCAACUUCCAUCACUUGCUUCAGGAUUGAACUGAAAACCAUCCUCUGCAAGAGUCCUUUUCUGGUCCACCUGAACUCCCUGUCCACUUGAGGCAUCUCCUCUAAGUCUGCCUUCUUUCUAUUCUCCUUAGGUAAGAAGAGGAGCAAGAACUUCCUUCCUCUGCUCACUUGUCAUCCAUCUCUUGCUGUGGAAAGCUGCUUGAGACUGAUGGUUCUGCUUCAGUGCAAGACAACUUACACCUCCUACUAACAGACUUACUCCUGCUGGUAAAAGAGCCUCUGUGGGGAGUCCCUGAUUCAUGUGAAGAAGAGGCCUUUCCUUUGACCUCAGGCCUUCCAUCUCCUCCUGCACCUAUCCCUUGAGGGUAGACCCAAGUCAGUAGGGAGCGGGACCUCCAACUCCUGCUGUACCACCUUGUGACAUCCAGUUUUUCACAGAAGCAAAGUAGUGAAAUGGGGCCUCCCAUCUGACCAUCUGACUGCGUGCCUUCUAGUUGCUGCUGUACUUGUCUUUUGCCUGAUCUUCAGCCUCCUCUGGGAAGAGGAGUAGUGCCUUCAAUAAUGAACCUUCCUCCUCCUGGUCAUACUUUACAAAUCCCAGUGAUUCUGAAUCCCUGUAGGCCAUCACCCAAGCCACAUACUCCAUCUCCCACUACCAGGUUCCUUGUUUCCAUCCCUCUAAACCCUCCCACCCCAAAGUCACCACCAAAUACUACCCCUUCUACUCCAUCAUCCAGAAUGCCUGUUCCAUAGACAGCAAACUUCCAUUCAUCCACAAUCUCUAGCCAUCUUCUCGCCAUCACUGAAACCUGGCUGCCCCAUGAUGGCACAACAUCCUUGGCCAGUCUUUCAAGUAUUGGCUGUACUUUUACUCAUUCCCCUUGAUUUACUGGUCGAGGCAAAGGAGUUGGAGUACCCCAUUGCUGUUUCUGGGUUCUCCCUUCCUCCAUUCCUCAGAAACCUCUCCUGUGAGGGUCAUGCACUUCAUCCCUUCCACCCAAACACAAUCCUGGUAGCUGUUGUCUAUAUACCUCCAGGUAACUCCACUUCUUUCUUCAAUGAAUUCAGUUACGUCUUGCAAUUUGUCUCGCCUCCCAAAGUCCUGUUUUCAGGUUAGUGGACUUCAGCGUACCUCCUAAUUUUUGCUCAAAACACCCAAACCAUUUGCUUCCUCCAUUGACUCAUUCCCCUCACUCCUGAAUCACUUAGCCACCCAAAAAGAUGGUCAUACCUUUAUCACCCACAGAUAUUUAGUAAUUCUAAUAUCUUCUAAUUUGACAUAAUCCAUUCUUUUUUUCUCUUCUCUCUUUCCUUUUCAAAACCUACUUUUCAUUCCCACCAAUCUCUUAGCCUCUCACUUCUUUUUAAAGCUAUCUCCACUACACUAAUCUGAUAUCUUGGUUAAUCAAUAGAACUUUACACUGUCCUUUGGAAUCAGUCCCCACACCAUCAUUUCACUGAUUGUCUGAUUCCUGCUUAGCCACUUUUGGCUUACUCCCACCAUUUGCCACCUUCUGAUUUUACACACACUCACACAGGUGAACAAAGGUAGAGAUAAACACAACAGACCUGGGUCUACUACAAACUUGUUACCCAGUUUCUUUAUAUAACAUCUAGUGUACAGAAUCAGAAUAGACAGGGGGGACUGUUGGGAGCACUAUCUUGUGGUUGACUCAGACAUUAUACUCUUCCUGUUCAAUCACAUGGACAGAACAUAGUAUUAGACUUUGGCUCAUUUAAAAUCUAGAUUUGCUGGAUUGUAACUAGCACCUAACUCCUAUUUAACCAAUGUAAAGAUUGGCAGAAUGGUGCAGAAAGGAAUGAUGGAUUGAAGUAAGUGAUGAAUUCUUUCUGUAUCAAUAUAAAUUCAGACUAAAUUAUCCCCAUUAAAAGUGCCCAUUACAUUCUUAAACCCUAUAAAAGGUCAUCUGACAUUGGAUUUAGACUCAAUCACAGUGGAGAUAGUAUUGAGCGGAUUUCAGCCAAAAAUAUAGCCGUUGCCCAUCUACAAGAACAAAUAAUUGGAGGAAAUAAAUACGAGGGACAUAAAUGUUCUUUUUAAUAGUGUUUCUUAAGUUGGUAUUAAAAUUAGAAAAUAAAAAACACAAGUUUGACUUAUGCUAACACUUAACUAGUGUUAAAUUGAGCAUGCAGUUAAAUGCUAAUCCAGGAAUGAGGGCUUAUCAAAAUUGUUAACCUUGGAGUAUUCAAAAAUCAUAGUAGGUGAGGCUUACAGUGGUGCUGUAAUCAUAGCCAGUAGUCAAACUAGGAUUCCAAUCUGGUGCUUUUGAUUCCAGUUCCAGUGAUCUUACCACUGGACCACAUUCUCCAUCUUCCCCCAUCUGUGGCAAUUCAUUCUGAACCAAUCCAUUUCUGUCUGUCUGUCUCAGGCUCUUCCCCCUUUCUCUCUCCCUCCCUCUUCCUCUCCUUUCAGUCACUGCCAAACUUUUCCAAUGUAUGAUCUGUAUCUACUGUCUCAAAUUCCCUUUCCCCCCACCCAUUCCUUAGAUCACUCAGUGGGUCUUCAGGCUCAUAGUCAAAGAUUUAGAUCUGAAAUGGACCUUGGAACUCAUCUGGUUCAAUCCCCUCAUUUGACAGAGGCCAAGGGAAAUGAAGUGACUUGUAUGAGAUAAUGCAGCUUGUAAGUGCCUGAAGCAGGAUUUGACAUCAGGUCUUCCUGCCUCAAAGAUCAGGGGUGUAGCCAUGAAAUCAUACUGUCUCCUAUCCCCUCAUCUUACUUGGUUUCUCUCAUCUCUAAGUUCUAAGAUAAGAAGUGUAAUGGAGCAAUUUAUUUUUGAAAUUGUAAAAGAAAAAUUAUUUUCCCCAAAUACAGUGUUCCUUGUGAUAAGCAUUGAAUAUAUAAUUGUUGAGCUGACUUGUUUUUUGGUUUUUUUUGUUUUUGUUUUUGUUUUGCUUUCUGCCUGAUAUGUGAUAGUCUAUGCUGAAUGAGUGAAUUCCUUAUCGUUUCUCUGUCCUUUGUUGAAAUGAGAGUUUUAAAAGGAUUUCUGUGACAGCUUACUCUAUGACAAAUAUUAAAAAGUUAAAUAAGAGUCGUCAUUUCUGCACCAAAGAUAACGGAAAGGUUCUGUAGGUAUUGUGUCAUAUAAACAAAUGUUUAUGCUAUGCUGAACCCAUGUAUGAGAAGUCAUAGCUUAGCUUAAAAGGAGAUCUUGGAAUACACUAGGGAGGGGGAGGGUGUGUUCCUUUUGAGAGUUAGAAAUGAUAAUUAAAACUAUAUGAAUAUGGUAUGGGUGAUGCCUUUUGACUUGCAUGUAAAUUGGAUUUAAGUGAGAAAGAGUUGCUUGAAGCCUUCAGUCACACUUCUUCCAGAAUCAUUGGAGUUCAAUGGCAGGACAAAAAUGAAGAUGACUGGCUAACACUCUGGAUGCAGUGGAUGACGCUGACCAAGCUCUACAGUGCUCCCCGGGGCCUGCUUCUGUUGCCUUUGGGCCCAUUGACACAAAAUGUUCACAUGUUCUUAUUAAAUACAUCAGGGAUGUUUUCAUAUGCUUGGGGUAGACACCCCUCUGACUCACAGAUGAGUUUGUGGUCCAUCAGUUACCCUCAACGUGGCGUUAGCCCAUCUGUUGAGGUGGCUCUGUUGGGGUGUGGCCACUGCUCAUUGCCACAGCUGCUUUUUGGAGCUACCAUUGAGAGCUAGGUGCUCUAGUGUAUACACCAAAGAUGGAUGAGCAGCCCUGAGAAGUUUUUAGCAAGACCUCCUUGCCAUAGAGGUACAAGUUUUUCCUGAACACCAUAUACAUCCCAGUGAAUAUAAGAGAACAUUAAACAGUAAAAAUUUAAUUAUCCAUGAUUUAUUUAACAAUUAGCAAUGUGAUAACAUGUUCCUUUGAAUACAAUAUUGAUAUUCAGUAAUAUCAACCCGCAGUGCUCUCUACCAGAGCCUGAAGGAAAUGGAUCAUCUCACUCAGCCUCAUGCAUCUGAGUACAAGCAUGGUCACACAGGUGAUCAAGUCAGUAAACAUUUAUUAAGGACCUACUCUGUGAUAGGCUAUGUACUAAGCAUAAGAAAACAAAGAUAUCCUCUGUCAUUGAAGAGCUUACAAACUAAGCUUGGACACAACAAGCAAACAAUUAUGCACAAAAAGGUUUAUACAGGAUCAGGUGAGCAUGUAAGAAACAAAAGAUCUUGCCAAGAACUCCACUGACUUGCUGAUGAAUUCAGGAAAGAGUUAUUUUACAUUCUUGUAAGGAUGGCUACUUACAUGAGCCCUUUGACUCCCCUUUGAAACUCCAAAGGCAACAUUUUAUUCCCUAUCCUGAAGCAUAAAUCCCUCCCCUGAUUCCCCAUUAACUGAAUGUUACAAAAGUUAUAGGACAUGAAUUUCCAGCCCUUGUUACAUAGUCCCUGCCCCAAGGAACUUCCAUUCUAGAAGAGGGAAGUAACAAAGGGAGGGCUGAGGGCAAAGAAGAUUCUUUUCAAAUCUCAGGCCAUCACCUCCAGUUUCAAAAGUCAGUCCCUGCCCCCAAGAAGCUUACCGCCUUUUGGGAGAGAUAACCUUCACUCUUGAUGAUUCUCUGAUGUCCUUGCGGAUUUCAGUUUUCUAAUUUAAGUUUCAUUUCUCCAAUUUAAUUUCCAUAACUGUGGAAGCCAAAUAAUUGCCCAUCCAUUUCUUAAAGAUACACAAAUUGUACUAAACCCAAAAUGCCUACAUUCUGAGAGGCAUCAUUCUCUCUGUAUAUGUGAAUCUAAGUGAAAUAAUCCUUGAGGCAAAUGGGAACUGAGCCUGAGGCAGAGCAGCCUCCCUGUUCCCUGACCCUGGGAGGGGAGGGGUCUCAUACUCCUUAGCAGUGGGACACAAAAUGCUUAGCAUGGACAUACUCCAUGUUAAGACCCACACCUCCACUUAGAGAAGAAGCCAAUCAGAAAAAAAUGACAAGGUUUUUUCUUUUUUUGCUUUUAUGUUGUUGUUUUGAAUUCUAUAGCAUAUUAAUUCAAUGGAUCCAAAACUGGAUUUCUUUUUUUUUUUAAUUUAUUUUUUAAUAGCUUUUUAUUUACAAGUUAUAUGUGUGGGUAAUUUAACAGCAUUGACAAUUGCCAAACCUUUUGUUCCAAUUUUCCCCUCCUUCCUACCACUCCCUCCCCCAGAUGGCAGGAUGACCAGUAAAUGUUAAAUAUAUUAAAGUAUAAAUUAGAUACACAAUAAGUAUACAUGACCAAACCGUUACUUUGCUGUACAAAACGAAUUGGACUCUGAAAUAUUGUACAAUUAGCCUGUGAAGGAAAUCCAAAAUGCAGGCAGGCAAAAAUAUAGGGAUUGGGAAUUCAAUGUAAUGGUUCUUAGUCAUCUCCCAGAGUUCUUUCUCUGGGCAUAGCUGGUUCAGUUCAUUCCUGCUCCAUUGGAACUGAUUUGGUUCAUCUCAUUGCUGAGGAUGGCCAGGUCCAUCAGAAUUGAUCAUCAUAUAGUAUUGUUGUUGAAGUACAUAAUGAUCUCCUGGCCCUGCUCGUUUCACUCAGCAUCAGUUCGUGUAAGUCUCUCCAGGCGUUUCUGAAAUCAUCCUGUUGGUCAUUUCUUACAGAACAGUAAUAUUCCAUAAUAUUCAUAUACUACAAGCCAUUCUCCAAUUGAUGGGCAUCCACUCAGUUUCCAGUUUCUGACCACUACAAACAGGGCUGCCACAAACAUUUUUGCACAUGUGGGUUCCUUUCCCUACUUUAUGAUCUCUUUGGGAUAUAAGCCCAUUAGAAACACUGCUGGAUCAAAGGGUAUGCACAGUUUGAUAACUUUUUGGGCGUAGUUCCAAAUUGCUCUCCAGAAUGGCUGGACGUAUUCACAACUCCACCAACAAUGUAUCAGUACCCCAGUUUUCCCACAUCCCCUCCAACAUUCCCCAUUAUCUUUCCCUGUCAUUCUAGCCAAUCUGACAGGUGUGUAGUGGUAUCUCAGAGUUGUCUUAAUUUGCAUUUUUCUGAUUAAUAAUGACUUGGAGUAUCUCUUUUCAUAUGGCUAGAAAUAGUUUCAAUUUCUUCAUCUGAGAAUUGUCUGUUCGCAUCCUUUGACCAUUUAUCAAUUGGAGAAUGGCUUGAUUUCUUAUAAAUUAGAGUAAAUUCUCUAUUUUGGAAAUGAGUCCUUUAUCAGAACCUUUGACUGUAAAAAUAUUUUCCCAGUUUAUUGCUUCCCUUCUAAUCUUGUCUGCAUUAGUUUUGUUUGUACAAAAACUUUUCAGUUUGAUAUAAUCAAAAUUUUCUAGUAAUGAUCUCUAGUUCUUCUUUGGUCAUAAAUUCCUUCCUUUUCCACAGGUCUGAGAGGUAAACUAUCCUGUGUUCCUCUAAUUUAUUUAUAAUCUCAUUCUUUAUAUUUAGGUCAUGAACUCAUUUUGACCUUAUCUUGGUGUACGGUGUUAAGUGUGGGUCGAUGCUUAGUUUCUGACAUAGUAGCAAAACUGGACUUCUUAUGAGAGUCUCCCCUGCAAUACACCCUUCUGAACUUUCCCAUUACUGUCAAGGACAUUCCUUCACACACAAAAUGAUACACAAAAAGAUAUUCCCACCUACAUGCUUUUGCAUAGGAAUGCAUUACAGCCUCACAGUUCUGCCUCUGAGAAGUCCUAGUUUCCUCGCUGCCCUCCCCUCAUUGAGAUCUUCCUUUUCCACUCUACCAUUCCCUUGUAUUUUAUAUUUUAUAUAGAUUUAUACUGACCCUGCUGCAUCCACUAAUAAGAUAUAAUUUCUUUGAGGGCAGGGAAUAUUUCAUUUUUUUUUGUCUUUGUAGCCCCAGCACCCAUGGCACAUAUUAGGGGAUUAAUAAAUGCUCUUACCCAUUGAUUGACAUACAAAAAUAUAGCGUGGUAUUUUGUUAAAAUCCAGUAGCUAUACUGGCUAUUGUAGUAUACUGAAAUGUUUAGGCCAAAAUUAUACUUUAGUAAUAAGUUUUCAUGUUCUCUCUCCUCCCCCUACCCCAGAAUCACAGAAUCUUAAAGGUGGAAAGUAUUUCCAAGGCCACCAUUCCAACCUAAAUGAAAAUUAUCUUUGUAGUAUCUCCUAACAAGUGGUAAAUUGCUUCAAUCAAUCCAUGAGUAUUUAUGAAACUCCUACUAUGUGCUAGGCACUGUGAUAAGCACUGAGGAUACAAAAAAAGGCAAAAGUCUGUCCUCAAAGAGCUUACAAUCUAAUGGGGGAAGACAAUAUACAAAGAAAUAUAAAUCAAGCUAUAUGUAGGAAAAAUACACAAUGAAGAGGGGAGGUACUAGAAUUAACAGGGACUGAGGAAAGUGGAAUUUAAAGAAAACCAGGGAAGUUAAUAGUUAGAGUGGAAGAGAGAACAUUCCAUGCUUGAGAGACAGCCAGAGAGAAUGCCCAGAACCAAGAGAUGAAAGAUCUUGUUUAUGGAACACCCAGGAGGCCAAUGUUACUGAGUUAAAAAUACAGAAAGAAGAUGUAAGAAGACUAGAAAGAUAAGAAAGAAAGGAAAGAAAGGAAAGGAAGCUGGGAUAUGAAGGGUUUUGAAUGCCCAGCCACCUUUUGGAUUUGAUCUUGGCGGUGACGGAACUACUAAAAUUUACUGAAUAGGGAGAUGACAUGAUUGCAUCUGCACUUUAGAAAAAUCACUUUAGUGGUUGAGUGGAUGAUGGAUUGGAGUGGGGAGAAACUUGAGGCAGACAGAUCCACAAUUAUCUUUUGCUGCAGUUAAGGUGUGAAGUGAUAAGGAUCUCCAGGGUGUAUGUGUGGUGGGGGAAGAAAUGGCAGUUUCAAAGGAGAGAAGGAGAAUUAUUUGAGAGAAGCUGAAAAAAUGAGAUUGAUAGGCCUUGGCAACAGCUUGGAUAUUGGAAAUGAGAGAUAGUGACUUUGGGAUGACUCCUAGGUUGUAACCCUGAGGGAGUGAAAGAAUAGGGUUGCCUCCUCCAAUAAUAGGAGGCAGGGUAGGGGUUAGGAGCAAAGAUAAUGAGUUCUGUUAUUGGACAUAUUGAGUUUCAGAUGUCUGAUGGAUAUACAGUUCAAGAUGUUUGAAAGGCAAUUGGAGAUGUGAGAUUAGAGGUCAGCAGAGAGGUUGGGGGAGAAUGUGUAAGUUUGAGAAUCAUCAGCAUUGAGAUGAUAAUUAAGUCCAUCGGGAUUGAUGAGGCCACCAAGUGAAGUAUAUUACAGAGGAAGAGGGCCCAGGAUAGAACUCCAAGGGACACCUAUGGUUAAAGAGUAUGAUCUAGAGGAAGAAACAGCAAAAGAGACAAAGAAGGAACAGUCAGAGAUGCAGGAGUAGAAUCAGCAGAGAGGUGUUCCAAAAACCUAGAAAAAAGGGAACAUAAAUAAGAAAGUGACAAAUAGUGUCAAAAGGUAUAGAGACUUCAAGGAAAGCAAGGAUUCAGAAAAAAAAAACAUUGGAUUUGGCAAUGGAUUAUUAGUUGUUUGGCAACAAAGAUUAUUAUAUAGAUAUAAUAUUAAUAAUAUACUAUUAUUAGUAUAAUAGAUAUAAUUAUCUAUUAUAAUUAGAUAAUAAUCUAAUUAGAUUAUUAGAUAAUCAAGAUUAGAUUAUCUUGAAGGGGGCAGUUUCAGUGGAAUAAUGAAGUCAGAAGCCAGAUUGUAAGGGUUUAGGAAGAAAAUAAGAUGAGAAAGUAGAGGUACCUAUCAUAUCAUUUUUUCAAGGAAUUUAGCUAUAUGGAACAGAAAAGAUAUAAGAUGAUAGCAUAACCCUAGAUGAUUUUAGUGAAUUUUUAGGUGAAAUGUGAAGCAAUAUUCUCAGCUGAGAGGAGGGAGUCAUGGGAGGUUCAAGGAGGGAUGAAAAGUUUUGGAAGAACUGCUGGGAAGAGUGAGGAGAUUGAGUUGGUAAGGGGGGGCACAGUACAAUUGCUAAGUAGCAGUGAGGGCCCAGUUUAAGAUGAAUGGCAUAAAUUUGUAGUAGACCCAGUCAGAGAACAGUUAUGUGGUUUUCUCUACCUUCAUUCAGCAGCUUGUAUAUAGUUUCGAAGGCAGCAAAUGGUGAGAGUGAUCAAAAGCUGAGGUUUGGCUGGACAAAGACCUCUAGUGACAGAAUACCCAUUGCCUUUCAAGAUACUCCAUUCUACUUUGGGACAGGUUCCCAAAUACAAAAAAAAAAAAAAGUUAUUCUGCUCACAGAGAUAGAAAUCUUUUUCUGCAACUUUCACCCAUUGUUCCUAGUUCUAUUCACUAGGGCCAAGUUUGAUAUUUCCUCCUAACAGUCCUUCUAAUACUGGAAGACUCCUUUAUUGUCCCCACCUUAAACUUACCUGGCUAAACACUCCUCAUUACUUCAAGAGUUUCUCUUCUCGCAUAAACUCAAGGCCCUUCAACCAUUAUUCCUGACUUCUCUGGAUGUUGUCCAACUCAUCUAUGAUUUUACUGAACCGUGGUACUGAAGAACAAGAUUCCAAAUCCCCUAGCUGAUAUACCAGUUUUCUCUACCAUAACCCUAUUAAUUAGUCAUCUAUCCUAUAUCUGAACACCAAAAUUAAUGAGUAAUUCACCAACUCCUAAGCCAACACACUUCUUUUUCAAACAACUCUGAUUAAAAAUUUCUUAUUUAAAUUGAGAUAAAAAUUGACUCUUCCAUUGCUUCUAAUUUUUGCCUCCUAAUAAUUAGCAGAACAAUUGUUAUUCAUAUCUAAAGGAUAUUCUUAAAAUCUUAGUGAAGUUUUAAGAUUUAAUAAUUUAAAAUCUAUUAAAUAUAAUAGUUUUAAUCACUUAAAACUGAACCAAGGUCUUUGGGACACCCUGUAAGUAAGUGUCUUUGCCUUCCAGAAAUCCUGCUUCCUAAUUCUAGGAGCUCUCUCUAGUUGCCACUGUUGCCAUUUUCCUGCAAGAUGGGCUUGGUCACCUGCAAAUUUGCAGAUCUAUCUUCUAAACACUAGGAGUAACUUUCCUACACGUUACCUUUCUAAUUAUUCUCAUAGAAAGUAAGCUAUCUAAUACAAACAAUAUCUAAUACAAACAAUUAUUUUCAUAUUCUGCUCUACAGUUUUGUCAGUGGUUAGUCAAGUUCAUUGGCUUAUAGAAAUGCUGUUUUGUUUUUUGUUUUUUGUUUUUUUUUUCAUUUUUUGACAGUCCUAUUGUGGUACUUCUGUACUCUGAUUUUUUCAGAUAUCACUGACAGUGACUCAGCCAUCACACUUGCAAAUUCUUUCAUUACCCAAGGGUGAAAUUUUGGUUUGGAAGGGGCAGCUAGGUGGCACAGUGGAUAGAGCACCAGCCCUGAAGUCAGGAGGACCUGAGUUCAAAUCUGGCCUCAAACACUUAACACUUCCUGGCUGUGUGACCCUGGGCAAGUUACUUAACCCCAAUUGCUUGGGAGGGAAGAGAAAUUUUGAUUUGGAGAAUAACUUAUCACUGUGGAUCCUAGUAGCUUCAAGUACACUCCUUCUCUGCCUCUCUCAAUUCUGACAGCAGCUCAGACAUCAUUCUUUGAAUUCAUCAAGGAUGACUGGAUGCUCCCUUAUCAUUUCCUCAGGAAACAUGCUCUUUCAGUGUCAGAUGUUUUUUAGGUCUUCUCCUUUGUUUUGAGGUUUUUUCUCUUUUUCUGUCUCUCUCUGAUGGACAAGGCGAAUUAAGCUCAUUGACACCCAUCUGAUUCCUUUUCCAUCUGUAGAGACACAAGCAAACCCUUUCCCCCAAGCAGGUAACCUGUCUGGUCCAUUCCAUUCACCACUUUCUGGAUCUCUCCUCAUCAACUGGAGAUUAUAUUAGAGCUGCUGGCACUGGACACUGCCCUUCUGUCGGGUUAAAAAGAUUGUAUUCUCCCCAGUUGUAAUCCCUUUCUCCCAUCUGAUUGCUUCUCUGCUGAUUGAUAUAUCAGAGUCCUGAAGUUUUAAAGACUCUCUGGGUGUGACCUCGGCUGCCAUCAUGCCUCACCUGUUUUUUGUUUGAGGUUUUGUUUAUGGAGCUGGGUGGGCCCUGCCUUUCAUUUCUCUGGGUCAAUCUACAUUCUGAGGCCCAGUGGAAGCCUUUAUUGCAUUUUGGACAUGGGGUUUUUGGUCUUGUUCUCUCAUUCUGUCCUCUCACUCUAUCCCUAUGCCAACAUUGAGCUUUCAGAUGCCCUGCUUUAUCACACUGAAAGCAUUGACGAGACUCUCUGGAAAUCCCUUGCCAUGAGGGACCCUGUCUUCUCAUGUUCUGCAUCAUAGCCUGGGUAUAAAAGGCAUUUGUGCCCACUGUGGCACAGUGUCUUAUGAUCUCCUCUAAAGGAGCAUCUUUGUGCAGUCCUAGAAUGAUUCUUCUACAAACCUCAUUAGCAUUUUCUUUAGCAAGUUGUUUUAUCAUUAUUCCUGUAGCUGUGUUUUCUCCAAUCAUUCAUAUGACAGCUGUUUGCAGAUGUCCCACAAAAUCAGCAAAGGGUUCAUUUGGACCUUGCUCUAUUUUCCUGAAGGCUGCCCCUCUAUCUUUUUGUCCUGGGAGGGAACCUCAUGCUUUGAUAGCAGCAGGUGUUUGCUCAUAGGCUAUCAAAGGGUAAUUAAUCUGUGUAAAGUGUCUGCAUAUUGACCUUUACCUGCUAGUUGGUCAAAGGUGAUUUGUAUUUUGACUCCAGUUUGCCUAUUUUGUUGGACUUGUAUUCUACAUAGUUCACUAUACUCCAAAAGCCACAACAAGUUUUGUCCAGGUUCUAAACAUGUCCUUGCUAUAGAUUUCCAAUCACUAAGGGUCAAAAUUUCAUAAGCCAAAUUCUCUAAUAUCAUCUUAAAAUAAGAUGAUGUAGCCCCAUAAAGAGUGCAACCCUUUUUCAAAUCUUAUAUUUUUUUCCAGAUCAAAAGGAGUAUAUCUUCUCCUUUGUUGAACUGAAGAGUCAAACUCUUGAAUAACAGGCUAUGCUUCUAUUAAAUCAGAUACAUCCUGCCCUUCUUUUUUAGCUUUAAAACGUGUGCCUUUUGUAAUCUUGUCAUAGGCUGCUUCAUAAUGGUGCUUCUUGUGUUACUGCCCCUCCCCCUUCUCCUUCUCCCUUUACCCAUGAAGGGUUAAUUGAAGAGGGAGUGUCAUGAGAUGGGGAAUGCCCUAAUGGCUCCUGCUGUGAAGCAUCAUACUCCUUAAUUUAAUCAGAAUCAUACUUAACUCCAUUCUUGUCUGAUUCUUCAUGAUUUUCACCUACUUUGUCAUUAUCCUCCCCCUCCUACACUUUCUUUUUUUUUUCCUUAUUCUAAUACUUUUAUAAUUUCUUAAAGCCAAUUGUAUUAAAUUAUAUGUAUAAAAUGUUUCUUUAAGAAUUGAAUCAGGACCAUUAUCAUUGUAAUAUUUAACUUAGUUGCUCUCCUACUAGUUUCCACUUGUCUGGCUCUAAUUUUUCUUCCUUAGAGAACCUAGGAGAUGUGUAUUUUAAUAUUUCAAAGAGUUCAAUGAUCUGCUUCCAAGUUACAAUCAAAUCUUGUUUUUUAAUUAGUUUAACUAUGCUUUCAACACAUUUUCCUUGAGGUGGAAAAGGUUCCUUUCUAAACAUUUGUCCCAUUUCAGCUGAAAUACUUUCCCUAAUUUCUGAGUCACAGAGACUUUUUCAUUGAACUCAGGAUUGGAGGUUUUUCCACUGAACUCAGGAUCGUGUCAGUUUGGACUGCUGAUUGUAAACCUUAGUCCCAUGUUCAGACGCCAAAAUGUAAUGUUCUCGUUGGUUUUCUGGAGGUCUCUGGACCAGUCUUUGUUUCAGUUCAGCAAUCACCACAAGAAUAGUCAGGUGUUAAAGUCCAAAUUCUUUAUUUUCUCCUUCACAGUCUAGUUCCCUUGCCUGGGGCCCAGUUAGCUUUCUUGAGGCCCUUCAGAUGGGCCUUGGUCUCAGUGGGGCGGGGAGGGGGGGAGAGACAGGACAGAGCAGCCACCACAAGGCUGGUGAAGAAGAUGGAAUGAAUCUCUCUGAGUCCAAGGACUUCUGCUUCAGCCUCCAGCCACCAGAAAGGUGGAUGAUGGAAUGAAUGUGUCUCUGAGUCCCACCCUGGCUGAGUUUGUCCCAGUUUAUAUGCUCUAUUAUAAUUAGAUCAUUUACAGUAUACUGAGUAUAAGCCAAUCAUUAUAUCACUAGGGAAUCAUUAUUUGUUGUAAGAUUAAAUCAAUCAUACUAAACUAGAGAACUAUUAAUCACCAUGCUAAACUAGAUAACCAUUGUCUUAUCAAUUCCACUUAGUUAGCACCUUGUUGUAAGAAUCCUUGUUUCAAGUACAGAGUUCUGGCCCAUAACAGUCAAUAAUUAAAGAGAAAUCUCUCCAUCUUCCAUUAUUUCCCAUUUGUUCUGAGUGAGCUCCUGGAUUUUCUUUGUUUUUCUUUUUAUUUUUUUGCCCAUGACAGAAUUAACAGACAAAUCCUUCACUUUUAUUACCAUUACCAGCUCAUCCUGAUCUUUAGGUGGUCUGCUGCUGUUCUCUUGUAUUUAUGGAUGAUAUGGGAAAGAGGAAAGAGCACUGGACUUGAAGUCAGGAUAGAUUAUAUUUAAAUGCCAUCUAGGAUACUUUCUAACUGUGUGAUCCUAUUCCAUACCCUUAUCCUCUGUGGACUUCAGUUUCCUCACUUGUAAGAUGAAGCCACUAAUAUUACUAGUAGCUAUCUUUGUGGGUUUUUUGAGAUAAUGUAUAGAGAACUAUUUUAAAACCUUAUGGAGCAAUAUACAUGUCAGCUACCUCUCCCCACCUCUCUGUUUUUCUAUUUGUGUCUGUCUCUGUCUCUAUCUCUCUGUCUCCAGAUGUCUCCCUCUCUGUCUAUCUCUCUGUCUCUGCCUCUGUUUGUCACUCCAUCUCUCUCUCUGUCUCCUCAUCCCACCAUCCCUCCUUCUCUUCAUCUGCAUUUCAGGGUUGCUGUUCAUAUUUGUAAGUGUGAACUAUUUUGAACAUUCUCCGUGCUCCACAUCUUUGCUGCCAUCCUUUGUCUCCCAUGUGAAAGGCAAUGUGGUACAGAAAGACCCCUCUAUGAGAAGUCUUGUGAAAACUUGCUUGUCUCUGAAUUUUUAGCCUUUGAUAGGUACUAAAAUCUUGUCUAAUUAGUGUCUUUUCAAAGUAUUCCCUGUUUCCAGCUCAGCAGGAAAUCAUAGGUUUAUGUUUUUCAUAGGUUAAGGGGACCAGAAGCAUUCAGAAUAACUUUGUAUAUUCCAAAUCAAGAAGCAGGAUCUUUCCAUUACAUGUUAUCAUGCCUUUCUAAAAGCAGAUUCCUUUUCAUCUUCCACAUAUGCUGGCAGCAAGCAGAGUGUGCUACACUGGCUGUACUACACUGGCUCUUUGGAAGGGGCACUCAUUGGUCAAGACCCCAUUACACUAAGGUGGUAUAAUAAGAACAAUUGAUUAAAAAUAUUUCCAAACCAAAGGACACUCUCCACAAGUACAUACAGAGUCCAGGAAAGGUGGCCUCAAGUCUUAGAGAAUACAUAUGGCAAAGUUUUUGGUUAUUGUCAUUUUUCUCUUUUGAGGGUAUCCCUUGAAAUUUACUUUGGGAAUGGUAUAUCUUUCAACUAGGAUCUUUGUAGUUUUGUUUUGUUUUGUUUUCGCUGAGGCAAUUGGGGUUAAGUGACUUGCCCAGGGUUGCACAGCUAGGAAGUGUUAACUGUCUGAGACCAGAUUUGAACUCAGGUCCUCCUGACUUCAAGGCUGGUGCUCUAUCCUCUGCCACAUAGCUGACCCCCCCUUUUUUUUUUAAAGAAACCCUUGUUCCACCAUUGAAGAAGGGGUUGGGUGGGAAGCAUGCAACAGAAUUGAUCCCUAACCAAAACAAAACAAAAACCCUAGCCGUGUGGCUCAAACCAAAUGAGAAAGUUUUAAAUUGCAAUUUUUAAAUUAAAAAGGAACAAAAAGGAAAAAAUGUAGAAUUUUUUAAAAAUAAUUUUAAAGCAGAGACUUUUAAAUUCAUUUUUAAGGUCCAAAUUCACUGCCUUCCUCUUCCUCUCCCACCUAAUGAGAAAAAAGCAAGAAAAAGAAAAAGAAAAAUAUGCCUAAGUAUGUACUCUGAAACCAUCCAUUCAUUCAUCCACUUUGUAUCUAGAAAUGAAUAGCAUAUUUUGUAAGUCUUUGUGAAUUGUCAUGUCAUUGUGUUGAUAAGUGUUCCUAAAUCUUUCACAGUUGAUUAUUUUUACAAUAUUGCUGUAACUAUGUAGAUUGUUCUGAUUCUCCUCACUUUAUUUUGCAUCUGUUCAUACAGGUCUUUCCAAGUUUUUCUGAAAUCAUUUUCUUUGUCAUUUCUUAUAUCACAGUAUUUUGUCACAAUCAUGUGAUACAAUUUAUUCAGCCAUUUCCCAGUUGGAGAUCUCCACAGUGACCACAAAAAGAGUUACUAUAAAUAUCUAUUUUAUAUUAGGGUCAUUUUUCUCUUUCUUUGAUCUCCUUAGCAUAUAAUCCCAGCAACUAUAUUGCUGGGUCAAAGAGUAUGCGCAGGUUAAUAGCCUUGAUUUUUUUUUUUUGUUACAUUUUAAGUUCUUAAAUUGUGUAUCUUUUCCCCCACUUUAAGGAGAAAGGGCCACCAUUUCAUAAACACAUACACGCACACACACACAGAAAACUACACUAUACAUACAUUUUAUGUAUCAGUUCUUUUUCUGGAAGUGGUAGCAUCUUCAUAUAUACUUCAUAAUUGAUAAGUAUUUAUAAUACUUAGAAUAAUUUAGUCAUUCACAGUUAUUCUUAGAACAGUAUUACUAUUACUGUAUACAAUGUUUUCUUGGUUCUGCUCAUUUUACUCUUACUUAUUUCAUACAAGUUUUUUUCAUGAUUUUUCUAAAAUCAACCUGCUUAUAGCAGCACAGUAGUAUUCCAUCACAAUAAUAUACCACAACUUGCUUAAUCAUUCCCCAGUUUAUGAGCAUCCCCUCAAUUUCCAGAUUUUUGCCACCACAAAGAGAGCUACUUGUUGGAAUCCUAGUGUCAACUCAACUUGAAACAAGGUGAAAACUCAAGGGUAAUGUCAGGGUCCUGAUGUUAACUCAAUAGAAUUGAUACAGACUUGUUGGUUCACACCUUAGAGUGAAUCCUUGCAGGGUGAUGGGUUGCUAAUACUGAUAGACAAUAAUGCUUGUGUUCACACCUUUAGAGAGCUCAAAAUAUUGGAUGUUUUUCUUCUUUAAAUAAUAAUAAUGGUUCUCUCUGGGAGAGAGGUUUCUUGGGGAGGUUUUCUGAAGGCAGCUUUAGUUUCAGUUACAAGUAAAUAAUCACCCAAAAUCGCAGCCAGCUGAUAAAAGUUUACAUCUUUUAUUGUGUCCUUCAAUAUAGCCCAGUUAGCUCAGGCCUAUCUCUCUUCUUGGUUCCAAGAGCUCUCUCUGAAUGUCUCCAAAUCCAAAGGUUUGUCCUUCCGACUCCAGCCAGCACCAAGUUGGAAGAUGCAAUGAAUCUCUCUUGCCUCGAAGAGAGGGCUUGUGCGCUUCCUCCCAGAGUGCUCCUCUCCCACCCCAGUCAAUGUUCCAGAGUAAGUCUUUUUAGCUCUAAGAGCUUCCUCCAUAUAUAUGAUCUCCCAAAGGUUAACUCCUCCUUUCUGGAGGCAGGGUAAAUUCGGAUAUCUCAUACUAAAUCAUGUGAACUCCAAUGAGUACUUAAAUAUUUCUUGCUUCUAUGAGCUCUCUAAGGGUGUGAACACAAGCAUUAUUGUCUAUCAGUAUUAACAAUCCAUCACCCUGCAAGGAUUCACUCUAAGGUGUGAACCAAGUACUGUAUAAAUUCUAUUGAGUUAACACCAGGACCCUGACAUUACCCUUGAGUUUUCACCUUGUUUCAAGUUGAGUUGACACUAGGAUUCCAACAAGUAGCUCUCUGUGGUGGCAAAAAUCUGGAAAUUGAGGGGAUGCUCAUAAACUGGGGAAUGAUUAAGCAAGUUGUGGUAUAUUAUUGUGAUGAAAUACUACUGUGCUGCUAUAAGCAGGUUGAUUUUAGAAAAAAAACAUGAAAAAAACUUGUUUUUUUAGAACUUAUUUUUUGUUUUUAGAACUUAUAGGUUCUAUUCCUUUUUUCUCAAUCUCCUUUGGAAACAGGCUUAAUAGUAGUAUUGUUAGAUGAAAGAGUAUGCACAGUUUUAUAAUACUUUGAGCAUAGUUCCAGAUUGGUCUCUAAAAUAGUCAUUUAUUGGUCAAAUUGGUCAAUUGGAAAAUGGCUCAUAUUCUUAGAAACUUGACAAAAUAUAUUUGAGAUAUGAGACAUUUAGCCAAAAAACUGUCUAUAAAAAUCUCACCCCGUUUUCUCUUUUUCUUCUAACCUUUGUUUGUACAAAGUUUUUCCCAUUUAUUUACCAUUUUGUUUUUCCCAGUUACAUAGAAAACAAUUUUUAGUAUUUGUUUUUAAAACUUUGAGUUCCAUAUUCUCUCCAUCCCUCCCUCCUCAUCCCCCCAUUGAAUAGGAACCUGUGAGGCUAUGCAUAAUAUUUCCAUAAAAGUCAUGUUGUAAAGGAAAACAAAGAUUUCCCUGACCCCAAAAAACCCUCAAGAAAAACAAAGUUUAAAAAGUAUGCUUCAAUCUGUAUUCAGACACAAUCAGUUUUUUCUCUGGGUAUGGGUAGCUUUUUUCAUAAGUCCUUCAGAGUAGUCUUGGAUCAUUGUUUUGCUGAGAAUAGCAAAGUUAUUCAAAGCUGAUCACCCCACGACAUUGCUUUUACUUUGUACACAUAAGCUCAUGGAGGACUUUCCAAGUUUUUCUGAGAGCAUUCUGCUUAUCAUUUCUUAUAUAACAAUAGUAUUCCAUCAUAAUCAGAUGCCACAAUUUAUUCAGGCCUUCCCCAAAUAAUGGGCAUCCCCUCGAUUUCCAAUUCUUUUGGAAUUAUGUAACAGUUAUGGAACAGUUGACAUCUUUUGAUCAUUUAGCAACUAAUUGCAGAAUGGCUCUUAUUUUUAAAAAUUUGAAUCAGUUCCCCAUACCUUUGAGAAAUGAGGCCUUCAUUCUUUUCACAAUUACUGUUGCUAACUGUAUUUCCUCUCUGUUUAUUUUAUUUUUUCUCUUCUUUCUCUCCUUUCACUGUGUCCCUUCUCAAAAGUGUUUUGGUUCUGACCACCCUCUCCCCCAUUAUGCCAUCUAUCACAUUCCCCUUUAUAAUAUCUCCUUCUUAUCCUACUUUCUUUCCCUUACUUUGAGUCCUGCUACAUUCUUGAUAACUUGGUGAAUCAAUUCAACUUUACAUUUUCUCCUUCUCUUAAGCUAUGACUUGUCCCUUGUAAUAUCACUUAUUGAUCCCUCCCAUACUUAAUUUUUUAGUGGUUUCCACUGUCCUUUCUUUCCCUCCUAUACCCUCCUUCCCACUACACAUAUUAACAAAGGUGCAAUCAAUCAAAACUAUUAUUAUUGAAUCUAUUACAAAUUUAUUUUAAACUGGACUUCUCACUUCCACUAGCUAGUCUUCCUCUUCUCUCACUCAAAAACUCACACAUACUACUUUCCUCAGAGAUUUUUCCAAACUAUUUUAUCCCUCAUCUCUCUCUCAUGAGGGCCCUCUCUCAUGACCCUCCCCCUCCCCCUUUUAAUUGAGAAUCUGGCCUCAUAUUUUAUUGAUAAAAUUGAAGCCAUUCACUGAGUUCCCCUUUCUUUUCUCUUCCUAAUCUCAUAUCAGAUGCCUUCUACAAUUAUUUCACUCCACUCCUGUAUCACAUGAAGAUGUGCUCUUUACUGAGGUCAGCUCUCUACCUAUACAAGAAAUUUUAUUCUCUCCAGUCUCCUCCAAGAGAUUUGUUCACUCUGAUAGCUUUACCAUAUCACUUAUUUUCAAUCUCUUUAUAUCUACUGGGUCCUUCCCUAUUGACUAUCCACAUACCUAUGUUUCCCCCAUUCUGAAAAAAAAACACUCAUUUGAGCCUUUUAUCCACAUUUAUCAUUCUAUGUCUUUUCUAACUUUUGUGGCCAGUCUCCUUGAUAUGGCUACCCACAGUACAUGUUUCUACUUCUUUCUCUUUCCCUUCUUACUCCUUAUGAUCCGACCACCAAGUUUAUCAUUCUACUAAAAGUGCUCCCCCAAAAGCUACUAAUGACUCUUCUCAGAUUUCCAAAUUCAAUGGUCUUUUUUUCCAUCUUCAUUUUGCCUGAUUGCUCUUCAGCCUUUGACACAUUUAUCACUCUCUCCUCCUUGAUACUUUGUUCUCUCUACAUUUUUGUGACACUACUUUCUUUUGGUUCUCUUCUUUAUUUGGCUGUUGCUUCUCAGACUCCUUUGCUGAUCUUCUCCCAGAUCACACCCUCCCACUGCACUUGUCCUUCAGGUCUCUUUUUUUCUUCUUUAAUAAUAUUAAUUACUUUUUGAUCUCAUCAGUUCUCAUGGAUGUUAUUACAAUCUCUAUGGUGAUGAUUCUCAAAUCUUCCACAACCUCUAUUGACCAUUUGUCUCCCAUAUUCAACUCUUUUUAGAUAUAUUGAACUGAAUUCCCAGUAGACAUGUCUGUAACCUCCCACUUCAAGGCUACUGAUUGCCAGGGCCACACAUACCAAUCUUCCCCAGAUAGACAUGGAGACGAGACCAAUGUUAAGGUGCCAAACAGCGUUUCUUUAUUGGUAAUCUCAGCGUGAAGCUGAGGGUUAGCAGGAAGUAAGAGCAAGUGUAUGUAUGUCUCUGCAUCCCAGUAUUUCCCUACAUCUCUGCCUCUCUCUACUUCUCUCUGCAUCCUUCUCUGCCUAUGGCAAAGCUGGCCAUUUAUAUGUACUCUCCUCUAGGAUUACCCUGUAUCUAGCCCACUUAGCACUGCAUAGGUGGAUCCGCAGAAAGGAGACACCUGGAGUCAGUGCUGCAUCCUAAGAAAAGAUUGAACACCUGUAAGACACAACCUCCUGCCUCAGAAGCCAAGCCCUUUUUUACCUUCCGGUUCCACCCUACUACUGACAUGGCAUACAUGGCAAUUCUCAGAAGGAAAGUCCCUAACACAUGUCAAACGCAACAUGUUUGGAACUGAGUUCAUUUUCUUUCUCUAAACUGUCCCUGUCUCUUUCACUUACACAUUACUGCUCUCCCAUUCCCUUAGCUUUGAAACCUAGGAGUUAUUUUCAAAUCCUCACUGUCUCUCACCUGCCAUGUCCAAUCUGUUAUCAAAACCUGUUGCUUUCACCUUUGCAACAUCUCUUGUUUGCACCCCCUUUCUCUCUGACACUGCUACCUCCCUAGUACAGACCCUCAUCAUUUCAUGGCUGAACUAUUGCAAUAGAAUGUUGGUGGGUUUGCCUUCCUCAGAUUCCUCCUCAUUUAUUGUCUAGCCACAAGAACAAAUCUUGGCAGAAACAAAUACAGCCUAUCAUUUU